AUACCCUGGUAGUCCACGCUGUAAACGAUGUCUACUUGGAGGUUGUGGCCUUGAGCCGUGGCUUUCGGAGCUAACGCGUUAAGUAGACCGCCUGGGGAGUACGGUCGCAAGAUUAAAACUCAAAUGAAUUGACGGGGGCCCGCACAAGCGGUGGAGCAUGUGGUUUAAUUCGAUGCAACGCGAAGAACCUUACCUACUCUUGACAUCCAGAGAAGCCAGCGGAGACGCAGGUGUGCCUUCGGGAGCUCUGAGACAGGUGCUGCAUGGCUGUCGUCAGCUCGUGUUGUGAAAUGUUGGGUUAAGUCCCGCAACGAGCGCAACCCUUAUCCUUGUUUGCCAGCGAGUCAUGUCGGGAACUCCAGGGAGACUGCCGGUGAUAAACCGGAGGAAGGUGGGGAUGACGUAA
rnacentral:rRNA from 1 species